GGCCUGUCUCAGUUAAGCGAUGUCAUCAGUUCUCAUUAGCCUCUUCAUAGUCUCUUGAAAAGCAUAAAGAAAAUUACCUCUGGCACAGAAAAGGCUUUUAAACCAACCUUUUCACAGUAUGUCUCAAACUGAACAUCCACUUAAGUGUAUAAUUACAAAAAAGAAAGGGUAUGCUAGAUAUGUUGACACAGGAUCUCUAAAUGUAGCUGAAGGAGUUACUAUUAUCUUCAAAGGCAAAACAUCUUUCUUAGGCUUACAAGACAAACUAUGUAGUGGAGUAGACAGGAAAGCAAAUCACUAAGAGAUUAUCUCCCUCUAAGUCUUCUUUCUCUUUUUCUUUUCUUUUUUCUUUC
rnacentral:lncRNA from 1 species